UUCGGGGACAUUGGUGACAGGUGGUGCAUGGUUGUCGUCAGCUCGUGUCGUGAGAUGUUGGGUUAAGUCCCGCAACGAGCGCAACCCUUGUCUUUAGUUGCCAUCAUUAAGUUGGGCACUCUAGAGAGACUGCCAGGGAUAACCUGGAGGAAGGUGGGGAUGACGUCAAAUCAUCAUGCCCCUUAUGCUUAGGGCUACACACGUGCUACAAUGGGUAGUACAGAGGGUUGCCAAGCCGUAAGGUGGAGCUAAUCCCUUAAAGCUACUCUCAGUUCGGAUUGUAGGCUGAAACUCGCCUACAUGAAGCUGGAGUUACUAGUAAUCGCAGAUCAGAAUGCUGCGGUGAAUGCGUUCCCGGGUCUUGUACACACCGCCCGUCACACCACGGGAGUUGGAGACGCCCGAAGCCGAUUAUCUAACCUUUUGGAAGAAGUCGUCGAAGGGGGAAUCAAUAACUGGGGUGAAGUCGUAACAAGGUAGCCGUAUCGGAAGGUGCGGCUGGAUCACCUCCUUUCUAAGGA
rnacentral:rRNA from 1 species